rnacentral:lncRNA from 1 species
UCGUUCACAAAUAUAGUCCCUAGUGUUGACAGUGGGUUACUUGCCAUUAAUUUUUAUACCCCUUCCAAAUUUAUUUCUCCAUGUUUAAUGUCUCAAAUUGCAAGUAGGGGGGUGAAAUUACACUGUAAAGAAAUUUGGGUCCAGAAUUGUAAAGGAAAGUAGUGAUUUGGUCCAGCUGAAAAAGGUUUAAAAUUAGCACUUCGGAAGCUGUCAGAAGAUUUCAAGACGCCCUAAACAUAAAAUUGUCCAUAUUUUGAGUUAGAGCCGAUGAAGAUUUCUAUAAUUUUGAUAUAAUUUGUCCCAAAAGUAGUACAACACACUGUCAAA